UGUUGGUUCCUUCGCAGCGCGAAACCGUAAAUCCGGUCAGGUCUGGAAGGAAGCAGCCGUAGCGGUGGAUGCGGGUGCCGAAGUGUGGCUAAUAUUG
rnacentral:SRP_RNA from 1 species